CGUCAAAUCAUCAUGCCCCUUAUGUCCUGGGCUACACACGUGCUACAAUGGCUGGUACAACGGGUCGCGAAACCGUGAGGUGGAGCCAAUCCCUAAAAGCCAGUCUCAGUUCGGAUCGUAGGCUGCAACUCGCCUACGUGAAGCCGGAAUCGCUAGUAAUCGCGGAUCAGCAUGCCGCGGUGAAUACGUUCUCGGGCCUU
rnacentral:rRNA from 1 species